AUGCGGAGUGAGCAGGGUCGUGAGCGCCACGUUCUCCCGUCUGCGGCCCGGCGCCCCUCCCCGCCCGGCCGGCCCUGUCUCGGUUGUGCCAUCCAAGCCCUCUCAGCUGGGCUCCUGGCUGUGCAGGAUCCGUUUCCUCCCAGCCUCUGCAUCCCAGCGGCCCUGGAAUCCUCUGGCCGCGGCUUCCUGCCUCUCUCCAAGCAUCCUCGUGUUUUAUUCAUCGCCGGCGGUUUCAGCGUUCGCCUGUUUGAACCGGGGCUGAGCCACGCUUUCCUCGGCCUUGCAGGUCAGAGCGGGCGAGCCACGUCCCCGGGGCUGGGACGUCGGUUUCAGUCUGUUCUGCCGAUCAGCUCCUGCUUGGGGGAACCGUGUGUUCUUAAACCUCCUGGCAAGCAGCCAGCAUUGCGAACGGCUUUUGCGUCUGCUGGCUCGGAAUCGAGCCAGGAGGGCUGCACCUCCCACCUGGUGAAGCUCGCGGGCAGUCGGUGCAGCGCUGGGACCCGGGAGACGCGUGCAAAGGACUCAGCCCGUGACCGUAAGGGUGACAGCCCCCGUCGCUCCAGCAGUGUGUCCCUGCAUGUGGCGUGCCCUGCGUGUGGGUGGCCAGAUUUGCAGGGUGGCACCGGGCGCCGAGCCUGCGUGUGUCAGGAGGGCGGUGCUGGAGAAUCACACCUUAGCAGCCGCGUUCCUCUGCACGGGACUUUCUUUACAGGUGCACGAAUCUCAACUGAGUUGCAACAGUGCGUGAGUCUUCAAACACGUGCCAUGUGGGGCAUUUCUACACGCGUGCGUGCCUGUCUAACCCCAAGCGUGACCAAGACACAAAGACUGGGGCCUGCACUGUGGUGCCUGCGACACCAGCAUCCCGUAUGGGUACUGGUUUGAGCUCAGGCUGCUCCACUUCCGAUCCAGCUCUCUGCUGUGGCCUGGGACAGCAGUGGAGGAUGCCCCAAGUGCUUGGAUCCCUGCACCCACGUGGGAGACCCCGAAGAAGCUCCUGGCUUCAGAUUGGCCCAGAUCUGGCCCUUCUGGCCAUCUGGGGAAUGAACCACUAGAUGGAAAACUCUCUCUCUCUCUCUCCACCUCCCAUCUUUCCCUCUCUUUGUGUGAUUCUGACUUUCAAAUGAAUAACUUUAACAAAAAAAUGUAUGAAGACUGUUCUGCAGCCGCCAGGCCGUGCCUCCCGCCGAGGCAGCCCCUGUGCCCGCAGACGGGUUUCCUUGUUUCAGAAUUCUGUGUAUGGAACCACGCAUCCUGACCGCGUCCUUCUGUGUAUGGAAUCGCGCAUCCUGACCGUGCCCCCCCACCAUACUCUUGUGCAGGGGGGGCUGUUAAUUUCCACUGCUGUGUGCUCUUGCGCGGUGGGGCUGCGCCACGCCCCCACCCGCUCUGCCGAGGCCGGCACUUGGCCUGUCGCCCGCUCUGCUUGUUGGUGGCUGCUGGGAGCUGCGUGGCUCUCAGCCCGUGGGCCGGGUGCUGUGGCGGCGCAGCAGGUUGAGCCUCCCUUGAGACAUCCGCAGCCCACGGCAGGUACCCGCUCGAGUCCCGGCUCCGCUGGUCCCAGCCCUGCUUCCUGGUAACGCACACCCGGGAGGCAGCAGCUGACGGACGGUUCAAGCCCUCGUGUCCCCGCCAGGCACGGGGAGACCUGGAGGCAGUCCCGCUCCUGGCUCCGCUGGCCCAGCCCUCGCUGUUGGGGGCAUCUGGGGAGUGAACCAGCGGAUGGAAAAAAUCUCUCUUCUCCGUCUGUCUUUCUCUCUGUUGCUCUGCUUGUCAGAUAAAACGAAAACAAGAUUGGUUUCUGCCUUUUCU
ensembl:lncRNA